rnacentral:rRNA from 1 species
ACUCCUACGGGAGGCAGCAGUGGGGAAUAUUGCACAAUGGGGGAAACCCUGAUGCAGCCAUGCCGCGUGUGUGAAGAAGGCCUUCGGGUUGUAAAGCACUUUCAGUAGGGAGGAAGGUAGUGUAGUUAACACCUGCACUAUUUGACGUUACCUACAGAAGAAGCACCGGCUAACUCCGUGCCAGCAGCCGCGGUAAUACGGAGGGUGCGAGCGUUAAUCGGAAUUACUGGGCGUAAAGCGCAUGCAGGCGGCCUGUUAAGUCAGAUGUGAAAGCCCGGGGCUUAACCUCGGAAUUGCAUUUGAAACUGGCAGGCUAGAGUCUUGUAGAGGGGGUUAGAAUUUCAGGUGUAGCGGUGAAAUGCGUAGAGAUCUGAAGGAAUACCAGUGGCGAAGGCGGCCCCUGGACAAAGACUGACGCUCAGAUGCGAAAGCGUGGGAGCAAACAGGAUUAGAUACCCCUGGUAGCGACUGA